GGUUGCUUGGUUGCUUGGUUUGGCUUGUUUCUUUCAGGUUUUGUCAAUCUGACACAAACUGGAGACAUCUGGGGAGAUGGAAUAUCAGCUGAGGAAUUCCUUUAGAAGACUGGCCUAUAGACAAGACUGUAAGGCAUUUUCUCGACUAAUGAUUUGUGUGGGAGAAACCAACCUAAGCCUACUGAUGUAGCUUUCAGCUACAGCUAUAGCACAAUGCUCCCUGUCAUGGUGAUAAUGAACUAAGCCUCUGAAAAUGUGGGUGACUAUACAGCCACUGUUCUGGACCUGUGCUCCUGUCAGUGUUCCUUAUCCAUGCUGGCCACAUUUCAAGUACUUAGUGGCUAUGUGGCUGUGAGUUAGCAGACUCAGAGCCCGGCCUUCACUUCGGACAGUGCUAGUGGUCAAGCUGCGAUAGGUUGCUAAAUGAAAGCAAAACACCAGUGAAGGCGAGUGGAGUCCAUGCAGGUCCCUGGAGCUGAGGGGUAGGCACCUCUUUCACUGUCGCCAUUCAGCAGCUGAAGAGAAUGUGACCGGCACCUGUGGCAUGUGCCCUACUUCCUCUCCCACCCAACACAAAUGACAAAACAUGCAGCAGCACCCUACAGGUGCCAGUAGCACCCUGCUCCGAGCUAUGAUGACCGAAAAUGCUUCACCCCCACGGGACACAAUUUUCCAGAAGAAACGCCCUGAUGCAAUGUGAAGGAAGGAGAGGCAAGCUCUUACAAGUGCCAGCUCUAAACAGACAUCAUGGUUGCUUGAUCCUUGAGACACUCUUCUGGGGUUGCUGUCAUUUUCCCUUUACGGAGGAAAGCUGAGCUUCAGACAUGUUAAGUCAUCACCCAAGGUUGCUGAGCUCUUACACUGCAGAGCCAGCAGCCCAUCUAGGCUGCUCACUCUCCCCAGCCCUCCACACACAACCCCCCUCCUUUAAUGCAAGGGUCCACACCCAAGCUCAGGAUCUCCCAAAAGUUCCACUGGGGACCAACUGCUGUCUCCUACCGUGCUAUAGAUAGCCUCUGGCCUAACCUAAAAUGGAAGAUGUUUACCAGACAGAAUGGGGAUGGGAAAAUCUCAGGCUGUGAUGUCAUGUCGAAAGCAACUGACCCUGAGUCAAGGCCACUCUGAUUGACCACCACCUGCAGCUGCUCUUAGGCUGGGGCUCAUCUCCACUUUCCUGGGGCCACCAGCAUCUGACCAUCUGCUCUCCCAAAGACCUAACUGUCACCUCCCUACUAGCCACUCAGAGUCCCUCUGUUGGCAAGAUCCUGAACUGAGCAGUGACAGGUGUGUGGUUGGUGCCAUCUCAGAACAGAGCCCGCACCUCUACAAAAUAGCUAGUGGAGGGCACACACUCCUCCUGAGUAAAAAUCCAGAAAAAAAAUUUGGAAAAGGUUUGAAAUUAUUUUCUCUAAAUCUCUAAAAAAGAAAAAGAUGGUUUUCCCCAUAUUGCUCUUUUUAAAUAUUACAUAAUUUAAUCUAAAAUUUAUCUUGAGAUUGCAUCAAAAUAUAUGAGUAUAGUGAAUAGCUGUUCAUUGUUUGCCAGAAGAUAGAAGCAUAAUUUAUAAAACA